rnacentral:rRNA from 1 species
GACGAAGGGGGCUAGCGUUAUCCGGAAUGAUUGGGCGUAAAGGGUUCGUAGAUUGUCAAAUCUUUUUUAAGUUAAAGUUUGGAACAAAUUUCAAAGCGCUUAAAAUAAAUUUUGACUUGAGAAUAACAGAGGAUAACAGAAUUUCAUACAUAGGAGUAAAACCCGUUUAUUUAUGAAGGAAUGCCAAAGGCGAAAGCAGUUAUCUGGGUUAUUACUGACAUUGAGGAACGAAAGCAUAGGGAGCAAACAGGAUUAGAUACCCGUGUAGU